rnacentral:rRNA from 1 species
GACGAACGCUGGCGGCGCGCCUAACACAUGCAAGUCGAACGAGCGAGAGAGAGCUUGCUUUCUCGAGCGAGUGGCGAACGGGUGAGUAACGCGUGAGGAACCUGCCUCAAAGAGGGGGACAACAGUUGGAAACGACUGCUAAUACCGCAUAAGCCCACGACCCGGCAUCGGGUAGAGGGAAAAGGAGCAAUCCGCUUUGAGAUGGCCUCGCGUCCGAUUAGCUAGUUGGUGAGGUAACGGCCCACCAAGGCGACGAUCGGUAGCCGGACUGAGAGGUUGAACGGCCACAUUGGGACUGAGACACGGCCCAGACUCCUACGGGAGGCAGCAGUGGGGAAUAUUGCACAAUGGGGGAAACCCUGAUGCAGCGACGCCGCGUGGAGUAAGAAGGUCUUCGGAUUGUAAACUCCUGUUGUUGAGGAAGAUAAUGACGGUACUCAACAAGGAAGUGACGGCUAACUACGUG